rnacentral:rRNA from 1 species
AUGAAACAAGCGUCCGAGAUGGGUUUGACUCUUCGUGCCUUGUUAGGCCUUGAGGAUGCGCCAGUAUGUGAGAUAGCAUUACAAUAUCUGCAGAAUGGGCCUCUCGCCGAGCCUGCGUGGGAAAAGAGUCUACCACCACAAAUGCGAAAUCUGCUACGUUGGUACAAGCAUUUCAUAACAUGGGCCGACAAAGAAUAUGUUUAUGCGGAUGUUACAGAGGAGCAUCACACCAAACGGUACUCUGUACAAGUUCAUAUGAGUGAAUUGUUCCAGCUGUUCAAUCUGCGCGACCUCGACAAAUCUAUCCUGAGUUGCUACGUUCUGUAA